AAUAAAUGAAAAUUUAAACAUUUCUUAAUUCUAGUCACCAAAAACCAUCAAAAUGAACAAAUCCAUCAUCCUUGUCCUUGUCCCAUGCCUUGUUGCUUUCGUCAUGGCCCAGCAAUACGGAUACCAAUCCGGAUACCAGUCAGGAUACCCAGCUUACUACCAGAAUCAACUUAGUGCCUACACACAACAGAGAGGACUGUACAACUAUGGAAACGCUGCCACAGCUCAACUCCAAGGAGCCAAACUUCUUAACUACUUGUUCGGAUUCUUGCUUCUCCUGGACCUCACAAACGCCACAGGAAACUCAUUGACCAGUAGCUUGGGUUAAAAUCUAUGAUGCUCACUACAUAUACACAGUCCGUUUAAACUAAGAUGUUACCACAGGAUAACCUGAUUUGCCAGCUCGAUCUGCUUUUUCCUUAAGUUACAUCGUUUCCUGGUUCCAAUGUUGUGUUUUCGCAGUAGAAAACAACAGUCUUUCUGAUUAUGUGAACUGUGUCAAAUUGAUGUGAAAAAGUUUAUGUUAACAACUUGUACAAUUUAUUUUCACAUAUACUUAAUAAAAAAAAUUAAGAAAU